CCAAUUUUCCUCUUACGUCGCUCUGCCUGAUUUAUGACGCUCCGUCAUCCGCCAAAUGGAAACCAAACUUUAAUGGGAAACAGCAAUGCUGCCAAACCUCCACAACAACAAGUGUGUCAAUAGUCAUUACUGUCAAUCACAGUCACUGUCAAUCGGCUAGUAGGGUUAGAAACCAGAUGUCAAGACACGUUUAUUUACUAAAACUUAACUUGAAGAAUUGAAGGGAAAUAUAGCAAGCAAAACUGGGGAGGCCAAUUUCAAAUCAAUUAGGAUACCUUGCCCAACAUGAUUCCGCUAUAGAAGAAAGUAUUUCGCAAUCUGUGGCACAACAGCACCCUCUAGAAGUCCCUCCAUACCCCAGACAUAUACCGGCCUCAUAGAAACUCUUGACAAACAAAUCAAAGGUCAGAAAGUUCCCAACACCAGGUAUAUGAAUAGGGACUAAGGAAACAUAAUACGACUAACUCCGCAGAGGUGUGCUGACAGGAUAGGGUAGAAAAUCCAAUAAAACCGUUCAAGAUGGAGUUUUAGCCAGUUACAUUACUUUAGAUAUACCUAGACGAAAAAGGUGUCGCAAGGCUGAUGGAAAACCUCACUCUUUUGCAGUAAAAUAUUGCGUUUUCGUUAGGCAACAAAAAAUGCAGGUUUGUCAGAAGUUUAUAAUGGCUAUUUACAAUGUUGGUCAGAGGAGGGUGAAUACCAUUUGCAGGAAAGUGCAAAGUGGGGAAACAGUUUUAACAGAAAAAGGGGGAGGCGAUAGACGCACUUUUAAGUUUGUGGAUAAACUGAAUGCUGUAAGGUCUUUUAUUAGUCAGUUACAAGGAAAGGAAAGCCACUAUGGCAGAAAAGUCUCGACGAAUUUAUGUAUCAUCAGAAUACAACAUUUCUAUACUUUGGCAAUUAUAUAACAAAAAAGCACCAAAUAAUCUGAAAGUAAAUUACAAAUAUUUCAGCCGGGUGUUUAGUAAAUACUUUAAUAUAGGAUUCGGUAGUCCCGCUAGUGAAGUCUGUAGCUACUGCGUUAGAACACAAACCAAAAUUGGUAUGUCUCGAAUUGCUACACAAAAACAAAAGUUAUCUACUGAACUAAAAGUGCAUAAAUUCGGUGCAUCACAAUUUCAUAAAUUAUUGAAAGUUGAAGAUCCCAAUACAAUUUCAUAUUGCUUUGAUCUGUAACAAGUUUAGGUAUUACCCAAGGUCCCUAUUCAGGAGGCAUGUUACGCCCAACAGCUGUUAAUACACUCUUUUUGAAUUACUAAACUUAAUUGCAAAGACUCAGUAUUCUAUACGUGGAUGGAGCACCAAGCAGGUAGAGGGCGACUGAGAUAUCUUCUGCUGUUAUCGGUUUUUUGAAAAAACUUACAUUUCCAGACAAUGCGACAAAAAUCCGUUUUUUUGCAGAUGGGUGUGGAGGACAAAAUAAAAAUAAUCAUGCUGUGCAUGCUUUAAUGUUUUGGCUUCAAACGUUUUCAUGUAAGCAGAUUAGGAACAUAGAAGUUAUAUUUCCAAUUAGAGGUCACUCUUAUCUCCCCGCCGAUCGUAUCUUUGGACGCAUUGAAAAAAACUUAAGGUCUCAUAGUAUUAUAAAAACUCCAGAUCAAUAUUGGGAUAUCUACACCAAAGUGGGUGGUGUACAAAAACUUGGAACUGACUGGCAUUUACUUGACAUAAAAAAACUUUUGCUGCAUCUGAAAAAAGUGACUGGCAUUCAUUCUUGUCGAAGACUUUCGUUAAAGAAAAAAAGUUCCACCCAUAAUAUUUUGCUGAAAACUGAGUUACUAUAUCGCAAUUCAGAUGAGACAAAAAAGUUUUAAUCACUCCUAAAACCACGAGCAAGAUUCGAUCAAAGAGAAUUACAGGAAUUAGGUUUGGGUCAUAAAAUAAAGGGAAAAAAGUAGAUAG